rnacentral:ncRNA from 2 species
UUCUUAUCAAGAGAGAUGGAGGGACUGGCCCAAUGAAAUCCAACAACCGGCAUUUAUAUUUAAAUGUGACGGUGUUAAUUCCAGCAGAAAUUUUUUCUGAAAGAUAAGAA